UAAUAGUAAGUUUUGGUAAGAAUUUAUAAAAAAUCGAUUUCCAACGCCUGAAAGUAUGCUUCUAAAAGUGGAAAACAUAAACAGAAAGGGAUCAGUGAAGUGAUAGUUGUUGUUGUAACGGCAU